CCUACGGGUGGCAGCAGUGGGGAAUAUUGCACAAUGGGGGAAACCCUGAUGCAGCAACGUCGCGUGGGUGAAGGAGCGUUUCGGCGCGUAAAGCCCUGUCAGCGGGGAAGAAGAAAGACGGUACCCGACCAAGAAGCCCCGGCUAACUACGUGCCAGCAGCCGCGGUAAUACGUAGGGGGCGAGCGUUAUCCGGAUUUAUUGGGUGUAAAGGGUGCGCAGGCGGAAUGUCAAGUCAGCGGUAAAAUUUCGGGGCUCAACCCAGUCGUGCCGUUGAAACUGGCGUUCUUGAGUGAGCGAGAGGUAUGCGGAAUGCGUGGUGUAGCGGUGAAAUGCAUAGAUAUCACGCAGAACUCCGAUUGCGAAGGCAGCAUACCGGCGCUCAACUGACGCUCAUGCACGAAAGCGUGGGUAUCGAACAGGAUUAGAUACCCCUGUAGUC
rnacentral:rRNA from 1 species